rnacentral:rRNA from 1 species
UACGUAGGUGGCAAGCGUUGUUCGGAAUUAUUGGGCGUAAAGAGCUCGUAGGCGGCUUGUCGCGUCGACUGUGAAAUCCCGCGGCUCAACUGCGGGUCUGCAGCCGAUACGGGCAGGCUAGAGUUCGGUAGGGGGAGAUCGGAAUUCCUGGUGUAGCGGUGAAAUGCGCAGAUAUCAGGAGGAACACCGGUGGCGAAGGCGGAUCUCUGGGCCGAUACUGACGCUGAGGAGCGAAAGCGUGGGGAGCGAACAGG